rnacentral:misc_RNA from 1 species
AAAGUCGUAACAAGGUUUCCGUAGGUGAACCUGCGGAAGGAUCAUUAACACGUAUCCAACGUUAAAACCCCCCUGUGAACCUUUAUUGGAGCGUACGUCGCGUUAAUUACUCACAAUCCCUGGUAAAUCAUCGCCGAAGAAAAGUUUGAUUCAGGGACCGUAAGGGGAGAGGCGUACAUCACUCCGAAGGCAAGAUUAACCACCUGGCAUUCCUCUGCUUGUUAGUGUCUGAAAGUGUCACUAGCAUGAAACGAAUGACGCUGUAACGUUUGCUGGAGGCCGACACGGCCGGCAACCUCGGGUGACUGGUCCCCAUGUGGACCCCUAGUUCACCUUUGCAUGAAAACGGGCCUGCGCUUAAUUGUGCGGCCACCAAACUCGAACAACUGUUAACAAUGGAUAUCUUGGUUCUC